rnacentral:tRNA from 1 species
CUAGACAUAGUUUAAAACAAAACACUGGCUUUGGGAGCUGAAGACAUCUUAAUAGAUUUUCUAGA